GUUAAGGCCCCUAAAUAAUUACUAAGUGAUAAAGGAGGUGGGAGUGCAGAAACAAUCAGGAGGUUUGCUUAGAAGCAGCAAUCCUUUAAAGAGUGCGUAAUAGCUCACUGAUCGAGUAAACCUGCGCCGAAAAUGAACGGGACUAAGUAAUUUGCCGAAACUGUGCGAUAUAUGAAAUAUAUCGGUAGGGGAGCGUUCUGUUGUAGGUUGAAGUAUUAGCGGAAGCGGGUAUGGACGAAGCAGAAGUGAGAAUGUCGGCUUGAGUAACGAAAAUAUAGGUGAGAAUCCUAUACCCCGAAAACCCAAGGUUUCCUCCGGAAGGCUCGUCCGCGGAGGGUAAGUCAGGACCUAAGGCGAGGCUGAAAAGCGUAUUCUAUGG
rnacentral:rRNA from 1 species